rnacentral:rRNA from 1 species
UACGAAGGGGGCUAGCGUUGUUUGGAUUUACUGGGCGUAAAGCGCACGUAGGCGGAUCGAUCAGUCAGGGGUGAAAUCCCAGGGCUCAACCCUGGAACUGCCUUUGAUACUGUCGAUCUGGAGUAUGGAAGAGGUGAGUGGAAUUCCGAGUGUAGAGGUGAAAUUCGUAGAUAUUCGGAGGAACACCAGUGGCGAAGGCGGCUCACUGGUCCAUUACUGACGCUGAGGUGCGAAAGCGUGGGGAGCAAACAGG